UACGAAGGGGGCUAGCGUUGCUCGGAAUCACUGGGCGUAAAGCGCACGUAGGCGGCUUCUUAAGUCAGGGGUGAAAUCCUGGAGCUCAACUCCAGAACUGCCUUUGAUACUGAGAAGCUUGAGUCCGGGAGAGGUGAGUGGAACUGCGAGUGUAGAGGUGAAAUUCGUAGAUAUUCGCAAGAACACCAGUGGCGAAGGCGGCUCACUGGCCCGGUACUGACGCUGAGGUGCGAAAGCUAGGGGAGCAAACAGG
rnacentral:rRNA from 1 species